UAACCCAAAAUUUGUGUGUUGUUUAAAAAAAGUAGCCAUGCAUGUAUAAGUAUAAACGCAUUGAAGCGUGAAACCGCGAACGGCUCAUUACAACAGCUAUAAUUUACUUGAUCUUGACAUCCUACAUGGAUAACUGUGGUAAUUCUAGAGCUAAUACAUGCACCAAAGCUCCAACCCGCAAGGGAAGAGCGCAUUUAUUAGAACAAAACCAAGCGGCUUCGGCUGCCCAACGUUGACUCAGAAUAACUAAGCUGAUCGCAUGGUCUUGUACCGGCGACGUGUCUUUCAAGUAUCUGCCUUAUCAACUUUCGAUGGUACUGUCAUUGACUACCAUGGUGGUGACGGGUAACGGAGGAUCAGGGUUCGACUCCGGAGAAGGGGCCUGAGAAAUGGCCACUACGUCUAAGGAUGGCAGCAGGCGCGCAAAUUACCCACUCUCAGAACAACUAGAGGAGGUAGUGACGAGAAAUAACGAGACCGUUCUCAACAGAGGCCGGUCAUCGGAAUGGGUACAAUUUAAACCCUUUAACGAGUAUCUAUGAGAGGGCAAGUCUGGUGCCAGCAGCCGCGGUAAUUCCAGCUCUCAAAAUGCAUAAAAUUAUUGCUGCGGUUAAAAAGCUCGUAGUUGGAUCUGUGCCAGCAUGCCGGUCCAUCUUCGGAUGCGUACUGGUUCAUUGCCGGCUUUCCUGCAGUUUGUCGGCUCUGUGCCCUUCACUGGGCGCAGUUGUUCGGUGCUGCAAUUUUACUUUGAACAAAUCAGAGUGCUCUAAACAGGCGUUUCGCUUGAAUGUUCGUGCAUGGAAUAAUAGAAGAGGAUUUCGGUUCUAUUUUAUUGGUUUUAUAGACUGAAAUAGGGU
rnacentral:rRNA from 1 species